rnacentral:rRNA from 1 species
UACGUAGGGUGCGAGCGUUGUCCGGAAUUAUUGGGCGUAAAGAGCUCGUAGGCGGUUUGUCGCGUCUGCUGUGAAAACUCAGGGCUUAACCCUGAGCCUGCAGUGGGUACGGGCAGACUAGAGUGUGGUAGGGGAGAUCGGAAUUCCUGGUGUAGCGGUGGAAUGCGCAGAUAUCAGGAGGAACACCGGUGGCGAAGGCGGGUCUCUGGGCCGAUACUGACGCUGAGGAGCGAAAGCGUGGGGAGCGAACAGG